GGGGAAUGUUGCGCAAUGGGCGAAAGCCUGACGCAGCCAACCCGCGCGUGUGAUGAAGGCCUUCGGGUUGUAAAGCACUGUCGUGAGGGAAGAAAUUUUGACGGUACCUCACAAGGAAGCACCGGCUAACCCCGUGCCAGCAGCCGCGGUAAUACGGGGGGUGCAAGCGUUGCUCGGAAUCACUGGGCGUAAAGCGUCCGCAGGCGGACCAUUAAGUCGGUCGUGAAAGCCCGGGGCUCAACCCCGGAACUGCGAUCGAAACUGGUGGUCUUGAGUUCGGGAGAGGGAGGUGGAAUUCCAGGUGUAGAGGUGAAAUUCGUAGAUAUCUGGAGGAACACCGGUGGCGAAAGCGGCCUCCUGGCCCGAUACUGACGCUCAUGGACGAAAGCGUGGGGAGCAAAC
rnacentral:rRNA from 1 species